CCUACGGGCGGCUGCAGUGGGGAAUAUUGGACAAUGGGGGGAACCCUGAUCCAGCGACGCCGCGUGAGUGAAGAAGUCUUUCGGUAUGUAAAGCUCUAUCAGCCGGGAAGCAAGAAAUGACGGUACCUGACUAAGAAGCCCCGGCUAACUACGUGCCAGCAGCCGCGGUAAUACGUAGGGGGCAAGCGUUAUCCGGAUUUGCUGGGUGUAAAGGGAGCGUAGACGGCGAUGCAAGUCUGAAGUGAAAGGCGGGGGGCCAAACCCCGGACUGCUUUGGAAACUGUAUGGCUGGAGUGCAGGAGAGGUAAGUGGAAUUCGUGGUGUAGCGGUGAAAUGCGUAGAUAUUAGGAGGAACACCAGUGGCGAAGGCGGCUUACUGGACUGUAACUGACGUUGAGGCUCGAAAGCGUGGGGAGCGAACAGGAUUAGAUACCCGAGUAGUC
rnacentral:rRNA from 1 species